CAUUCAUUGCACAUUUUCCCUUAAAUCCGACCUUCGAAAGUGUAAUACCUCGCACUUGCUCAGAUGAAACUCCAUCUGCCAUUUCUCUGCCCAUUGCUGUAGCUGAUCGACACCCCACUGUAUCUUCUGCUAACGUUUCCCACUAUCCGCAACUAUACAAAUUUAGGCGUCAUUUGCAAGCUCGCUAAUCAACCUGUCUACAUUUAUGUUCAAGUCCUUUAUCAAAUCACAACCAGAUGUCCCAGCACAGAUCUUUGCAUAACUCCACUGCUUACAAUCCUACAGCCAGAAUAAUUCUUCCACCACAACCCUCUCUUCUAUGAGUAAGGCAGCUCUAAAUCUAAACGACCAAGUCAUCAUGGAUACGCGCACCUUAUACUUCCAGAUCCAGCCUACCUUGAAGGACUUCAUCAAAUGCCUUACAAAAACCUACA